GGAUUUUGAAAAUAUCUUAAAAUGUAUGUGAGAUACAUUUGGUUUUAAGGGCCAAGAUGAGUCCUGUGUUUAGAUCAACGGCCAAGAUGAAUCAGAGAUACAUUUCCCACCCGUUUGAGUUCAUUUCUCCCUCUCUCCCACGUUCUCUUCAGCUCCCUCUCUCCCACGUUGUCUGUCAUAGUGUCUCUCAUCACCACAGCCAUUGAAGACCCUUCGAACCCUUCGAUACCCACCCUCCCUCUUCGAUACCCACCCUCCCUCUUCGCUACGCUACUCCUCCUUCCCUUACAACCCUUCUCUUCUACCUGACCGAGGCUGUCACCGACCGAGCCUCCCUCCAUCCGACGAUCGAGUCGAGUCUCGCCUGACUCGCUUCUCGCCUCUCAGUCCCGCCGGACUCUCUUCUGUCGACGGAUCUGUCUUCUCUCGGCUCUCUCUCUCCGACCAGCCCGAUUCUGUCCACCGACUCCAACCUACAGGUGACGUGGCUCUAUCUGAGCCGUUGCCCGGAGGGAGAGGCUAGAGAGGAUCCGGACUCUUCUUAUGGAUGGGUAGCACUACACCAUUUUUUAGAAAUAUAUAUAACAAAGUAGUUGACUCAUAUCAAUAGUAGUAUCAACUCCUCUUAUAUACCAAUGAAUUGAAAUUCAUUCUGUUCUCAUCUGCAAAUCCCAAUAACAAAGUAGUUGACUCAUAUCAAUAGUAGUAUCAACUCCUCUUAUAUACCAAUGAAUUGAAAUUCAUUCUGUUCUCAUCUGCAAAUCCCAAUAACAAAGUAGUUGACUCAUAUCAAUAGUAGUAUCAACUCCUCUUAUAUACCAAUGAAUUGAAAUUCAUUCUGUUCUCAUCUGCAAAUCCCAAUAACAAAGUAGUUGACUCAUAUCAAUAGUAGUAUCAACUCCUCUUAUAUACCAAUGAAUUGAAAUUCAUUCUGUUCUCAUCUGCAAAUCCCAAUUCCUCAAAUCUAAGCAUAGUUCAAUUCCAAGUCUGGUGACUCUUCUCUGCAUAACAAACCCAUGCAACUCAAAGAUGGGCAUAUCCUUGCACACAUCCUGGCUGCAACCUCCAUUGGAGUCAUCUGUGCCACUGCGUUUCACUACUACCAUCAACAAAAGCCCCCAAAAUAGUUAGAAGAUCAAACCAUAGUUCCAUUGUUAGACAGGAAUGAGUCUGGCCGUGUUGCCAAACUUGAAAGAUUCUCCAAUCAUGUUGGAUUUGAAGAUGGAAGUGAACGUCCCCAACUUUGCAAAUUAGCAUAUGAGUACCUCAAAAAAUCCAAAGAGUGUGAGAGUACUAUCUAUGAGUAUUUUGCUGAUGAGCCAAAUGUUGAUGAGCUGCAUGUGAAGUUGGUUGAGGAGUUUGAUAGGUGCAUCCUUGCCUACUUUGCAUUUCAUUGGAGCCAAGCUUCUCUCAUGAUCAGUCAGGUAUUGAGUAUUGAUUCUGAUAAGAAAAAGUUGAAGGACUUUUUUUUGCUGGAUACUAGGGUUUUGUUUAUGGGUCAUUUACGUUUUUUUAAAAUCAAUCUAAUACAUUUUAGUUCACUGGAAACUCCCACAGCUUUUGAGUUUGUGAAUUUUUUUUCAAAAAAAAACAGGGUUUGGUCAAAACCUCCCAUUUGAGGGCAUUGUAAAAAUUAUAUCUGAUAACAUUGUAUUUUCCAGUGAUGCAGUGUUGAUGUGAUAAAAUUGUCACUUGGCUGUUUUUGUUUUUUGUUAAAUAGAAUGACCAUUGUAUUUUUUUUUUUUUUUUUGGGCAUUGUAAAAAUUAACUCAACUAACUGGUUGGGGGUUGAGGGAAGGUUUUUACU